AGGAUCCAUUUCCUGAAGCUGAUGAUGAUGUCACAUACAGCACUGUCAUCCCCCAGCACAAGGCCCAACUAAAAGGACAGACCAAGUCAGCAGAACCAGAUGAUAAUGUGGUCUACAGCUCACUAGCUCUACAGGUGACCACACAGCAGAGGGCAGCAGCACAAUAGUGACUGACUGAGAAGACCUUCGUCGAGUCCUUAUCCUGGAUGGACAGAACACUACCCUCUCCUGUGUUACAUCUAUCUGCCUCCAAUAUGCUUCUGCCAUACCUCUUAAUAACCCACCCUAGACAGACCCCUCUAUUCUUUAGUGUAAUAAACUCCUGAAAACAG